GAUUACUAAGUGUUGGAGGGUUUCCGCCCUUCAGUGCUGCAGCUAACGCAUUAAGUAAUCCGCCUGGGGAGUACGACCGCAAGGUUGAAACUCAAAAGAAUUGACGGGGGCCCGCACAAGCGGUGGAGCAUGUGGUUUAAUUCGAAGCUACGCGAAGAACCUUACCAGGUCUUGACAUCUUCUGCCAACCUAAGAGAUUAGGCGUUCCCUUCGGGGACAGAAUGACAGGUGGUGCAUGGUUGUCGUCAGCUCGUGUCGUGAGAUGUUGGGUUAAGUCCCGCAACGAGCGCAACCCUUAUUACUAGUUGCCAGCAUUCAGUUGGGCACUCUAGUGAGACUGCCGGUGACAAACCGGAGGAAGGUGGGGACGACGUCAAAUCAUCAUGCCCCUUAUGACCUGGGCUACACACGUGCUACAAUGGAUGGUACAACGAGUUGCGAAACCGCGAGGUUUAGCUAAUCUCUUAAAACCAUUCUCAGUUCGGACUGUAGGCUGCAACUCGCCUACACGAAGUCGGAAUCGCUAGUAAUCGCGGAUCAGCAUGCCGCGGUGAAUACGUUCCCGGGCCUUGUACACACCGCCCGUCACACCAUGAGAGUUUGUAACACCCAAAGCCGGUGGGGUAACCUUUUAGGAGCUAGCCGUCUAAGGUGGGACAGAUGAUUAGGGUGAAGUCG
rnacentral:rRNA from 1 species